rnacentral:lncRNA from 1 species
ACAUUUAUUUUAUUUACUGUAUGGUGUAGGUUUAUUACCCAUACAACAGUAUUUAUUUAAAAGGGUGGUGCGGGUUUAUCGUCCACGCCUUUGCUUUUAUUUAAAUGUAUGGAGCAGAAUUAGUGCCCAUACAAGCACGUUUACUUUACCGCACAUUUAAUUUUAUUUAAGGUAUGGUGCGGGAUUAACGUCCAUACAGCAAGCUAUUUAAUUUAUGAAUUUAAUUUACUGCACAUUUACAUUUAUUUAAAAGGGUGGUGCGGGUUUAUCGUCC